CUCACAUGUGGAAUUCACUUUUCUCUUUAGCAGUCAAAAAAUCAAUUAUCAUAAUCACUAUCGAACCAGGCCUUUAAAUUUCAAUUAGAAUGUAGUCAACAUGUUUUUAAAUGUCAUCUUUAUAUGUAUUGAUUUAGGAUAGAGUAAUGCUAUUUAGCAUCAUUGAUGUUUAAUAUCAAUCUAGGUGCCUGCACUAGUGAUAUGAAAUUAUGUGUUGAAUUAAAUACAAAGAAUUAUGCCUGAAUAGGAUCUUUGAUAUGUCGAUAUUAGUGGUCUAGUACUAUUGAUACUAGAUAGCAUUAUUUUUUAAAGGAUAAAUCUUGAUGUACAUAGAGGUGUCCACAUCUUUCACAUCGAUUGGGAUCCACUCUCACGUGGAGUGGGUCUCAUCCUGUGUGAGGGAUGUCUAUGUAGUAUGUAUUCAAAUUAUGUACAUUAAGCACAAUCUUUUUAAAAUAUGAUACGGCAGUGAGCGGCAAUGAGAAUUGUUUG
rnacentral:lncRNA from 1 species